GGACACGCUGGGAACAGUCCGGAUAGUUACUCCACUCGACUGUAAAUCUGCCCGGGUUUCCCGUACGCUGGUUCGAAUCCAGCCCUGUCCACCA
rnacentral:tRNA from 1 species